AAUCGUCUCAGUUCGGACUGUAGUCUGCAACUCGACUACACGAAGCCGGAAUCGCUAGUAAUCGCGGAUCAGAAUGCCGCGGUGAAUACGUUCCCGGGUCUUGUACACACCGCCCGUCACACCAUGGGAGUCGGAAAUGCCCGAAGUCUGUGACCUAACCGUAAGGAAGGAGCAGCCGAAGGCAGGUCGGAUGACUGGGGUGAAGUCGUAACAAGGUAAC
rnacentral:rRNA from 1 species